rnacentral:tRNA from 1 species
GACCUGCUUGCUUGGGGGGCGGUACGCUGCGGGCGUGCCGUCCCGUUCGUUUGAGCUGAGUGUGGAUCU